AAACCCCCAAAGCAAGCAGGAGUGGAAAAGGCCUCUUUGGAGCGGUGAGGCAUAUUAAAGGGCAGAACACACAAUCGAAGGAGAGGCACGGUAGCAGGGUCAUAGAGCAGGAAGCAGAGAGAUCACAUCUCCAACCACAAACACAAAACAGAGAUUGGACUGGAAGCGAGAGCCCUCAUCCAGUGGCUGAUGGAAGCAGAGACUGACAUCCACAGAUAUAUACUGAGCUGAAAUCGGGAAUUUAGUUGAAGAGAGGGAGGAAUGAAGAGAGAAGGGAUCUGUACCAGGUUGGAGAAACCCACAGGAACAAUUGGCCUGAACAGGGAGAGCACAUCGACCCCAGAUGCUGUUGGGGAGGCCAGUACAAGACUGAUCCAGACCCCUGAACAUGGAUGUCAAUAAGGAGGCCUCUGCACUCCAGGGAGCCUCUGGUGGUGGUGGAUUAGUAUUUUUCCCUGGUGCAAUAAGGGACUUUGAGAGCCCAUCCCACCUGAAGGGUUACACUCUGGACCUGGACACAUGGGGAAGGGACCAGGACCAGCACAGGAAGAUUUGGUGGACUUUUGCAGAGCCCCCCAUUGAGGGCCCUACCCUGCCUGGGGAGUGGUGUGUGGAUGGGGUGGGG
rnacentral:lncRNA from 1 species